UUUCCCCUUCCCUUUUUAUUUCUUGGCCACCAUUAUUCCACAUCAACGCCCCAGGGUCCCAGAGACCUUUGCUUCAUUCCUCUUGUAGAAGAUGAAAAAGGUCAAUAUUAAAAAGAUAACAAUAAGCCCCCCCACCCCCUCAAAAGCGAUGAAUUAAUACAGAGGAACAAAAAGGAACCAGAGUAAUGUUCAGUCAUUCAGCUGGCAUUUUGGGGGUGUCCACAAGCCUGACGCUUACUCUAUACUAUGCAUGGCUUCUUCAUACUUUUUAUUUUAUUCUUCAUUAAACAGAUGACGGUCUAUUUAAAGUCUAUUCAACAAACCCUACUGCAGCACUACAAAGAAAAGGACUAUUUUUUUCCCCUCUGCUCUGUAUUUUAGAAUUUAAUGGGAAAAAAUUUAGUAGUAGAAAUAAUAAUAAUAAACCUUAAUAAUAGAACUGCAGUCAAAGCACUUCUAUACUAUAUUUUAGUUGGAGACUCUGUGGGGGCGGGCUGCCCUGGUUUGUAGGGGAAGGGCGGCGCCGGGUGAUAUUGGUUCCCACGAGCGCUGGAUUUCCCUAGGUUGCCCCAGAGUACCGAAGGAGACGUGGGGGUAGGACCCGGGCGGAGCAGGGGCGCCGUCGGGACUACAACACGGCUAGAUCCCUACUUUUGCAGUUUCCUAGGUCGGGCGAGGGCGUGGGGAUGGAAGGAGGGUAACUGUCACAACGCUUCUGCGAUAAAAUCAUGCCAGAAAGUAGAGAAAAAUGAAAAAAAUAAAAGUUUUAACAGAGAACGAAAAGCACCUCGUAUUUUCUUUCCCAUUGUUAAGGAAUGAAAAAACAGCCUUCCUGGCUUGGUUCCACUGGGGCUCGAACCCAGGACCUUCUGCGUGUAAAGCAGACGUGAUAACCACUACACUACGGAACCUUUACGCAAGGUGCUCGCGUCGUUACUUUAUUCAUAGUGUCACAAGGGAAGCAGAGCCUCUGCUGAAACCCCGCCCCUACGCCGUAACUCCGCCCCCACCGUGGCCCCGCGCCGCCUGCGGGAUUUGGUGUUCGCGGCCGGGCGCAGGGGCUCCCGGCUCCGGGCUCCGGGCUCCGGGCUCCGGCUCCGACGUCUGGAGCGCUUGCCCUCCGUGUCCUCUGGGUUUUUCGCCCUUGAGACCCAGGGAGGCCGAGGCGAGAGGUUACCCUCCUGUGCUUCUGGAUGGAUCUUCCUUACCAUCCUAG
rnacentral:tRNA from 1 species